rnacentral:tRNA from 1 species
GCCCUUGUAGUUUAUCUAAAACAUUAGUCUUGUAAACUAAAACAGACUUGUCCAAUGGCU